GCGAGUGAAGCGGGAAGAGCUCAAAUUUGAAAUCUGAUGGCCUCAGGUCAUUCGAGUUGUAAUCUAUAGGAACGUUUUCCGUGCCGGCUCAUGUACAAGUCCCUUGGAACAGGGCGUCAUAGAGGGUGAGAAUCCCGUACUUGACAUGAACUACCGGUGCUCUGUGAUACGUCUCCAACGAGUCGAGUUGUUUGGGAAUGCAGCUCAAAAUGGGUGGUAAAUUCCAUCUAAAGCUAAAUAUUGGUGUGAGACCGAUAGCGAACAAGUACCGUGAGGGAAAGAUGAAAAGCACUUUGGAAAGAGAGUUAAAAAGUAUGUGAAAUUGUUGAAAGGGAAACGAUUGAAGUCAGUCAUGUCCUUCAGAUUCAGCUGGUUCUGCCGGUGUAUUUCUGUUGGAUGGGGUCAACAUCAGUUUUGGAUGCCGGAUAAAGGCAGGAGGAAGGUAGUACUCUCGGGUAAACUUAUAGCCUCCUGUUGCAUACGGUGACUGGGACUGAGGAACGCAGCUUGCCUUUAUGGCCGGGGUUCGCCCACGUACAAGCUUAGGAUGUUGACAUAAUGGCUUUAAACGACCC
rnacentral:rRNA from 1 species